GCACAAGCGGAGGAACAUGUGGUUUAAUUCGAUGAUACGCGAGGAACCUUACCUGGGCUUAAAUGGGGAGUGACAGCUGUCGAAAGAUGGUUUUCUUCGGACACUCUUCAAGGUGCUGCAUGGUUGUCGUCAGCUCGUGCCGUGAGGUGUCGGGUUAAGUCCCCAUAACGAGCGCAACCCUUACCGUUAGUUACCAUCAGGUUAAGCUGGGGACUCUAGCGGGACUGCCACCGUAAGGUGAGAGGAAGGUGGGGAUGACGUCAAAUCAGCACGGCCCUUAUGUCCAGGGCUACACACGUGUUACAAUGGCCAGUACAAAGGGCAGCUACCGGGUGACCGGAUGCUAAUCUCUAAAGCUGGUCUCAGUUCGGAUCGAAGUCUGCAACCCGACUUCGUGAAGCUGGAUUCGCUAGUAAUCGCGCAUCAGCCAUGGCGCGGUGAAUACGUUCCCGGGCCUU
rnacentral:rRNA from 1 species